ACCGACCUUAGUAACGGCGAGUGAAGCGGCAAAAGCUCAAAUUUGAAAUCGACGCCACCAGGUCGAGUUGUAAGGAUUUGUAGAUUGUAUCUUGAGAGCGGAUUAAAGUCUGUUGGAACACAGCGCCUUAGAGGGUGACAAGCCCCGUAAAUCUAUUCUCAUUGUAAGAUACUUUCGAAGAGUCGAGUUGUUUGGGAAUGCAGCUCUAAGUGGGAGGUAAAUUCCUUCUAAAGCUAAAUAUUGACGAGAGACCGAUAGCGAACAAGUACUGUGAAGGAAAGAUGAAAAGCACUUUGAAAAGAGAGUGAAAAAGUACGUGAAAUUGUUAAAAGGGAAGGGUAUUGAAUCAGACUUGGUGCUGUUGUUCAACUGUGUUUCGGCAUAGUGUACUCAGCAGUACUAGGCCAAGGUGGGGUGUUUGGGAGUGAAAAAGAAGUUGGAACGUAACUCUUCGGAGUGUUAUAGCCUACUUUCAUAGCUCCUCAGGCGCCUCAGGACUGCGCUUCGGCAAGGACCUUGGCAUAAUGAUUCUAUACCGCCCGUCUUGAA
rnacentral:rRNA from 1 species